rnacentral:rRNA from 1 species
GACGAACGCUGGCGGCGUGCUUAACACAUGCAAGUCGAACGGCAAGGCCCUGCUUUUGUGGGGUGCUCGAGUGGCGAACGGGUGAGUAACACGUGAGUAACCUGCCCUUGACUUUGGGAUAACUUCAGGAAACUGGGGCUAAUACCGGAUAGGAGCUCCUGCUGCAUGGUGGGGGUUGGAAAGUUUCGGCGGUUGGGGAUGGACUCGCGGCUUAUCAGCUUGUUGGUGGGGUAGUGGCUUACCAAGGCUUUGACGGGUAGCCGGCCUGAGAGGGUGACCGGCCACAUUGGGACUGAGAUACGGCGCAGACUCCUACGGGAGGCAGCAGUGGGGAAUAUUGCACAAUGGGCGGAAGCCUGAUGCAGCAACGCCGCGUGCGGGAUGACGGCCUUCGGGUUGUAAACCGCUGUCGCCUGUGACGAAGCGUGAGUGACGGUAAUGGGUAAAGAAGCACCGGCUAACUACGUG